CUGCAGAGAGAUCUCUCUAGGGAACUCAGGGUUCACUGGCUGUUACAUGCACAGCAAGGUUCAGACUGACAGAGCCUUGAAGAGUCUGGUGGAAGGCAGACAGAAUGCAGUGUCAGGCAGUGGGCAUACAGUUCAGCUGCAGCAAAGCUCACACUGCUGAGACAGACGGGUAACAGAGUGGCUUACAGUUCUGGGUUCCCAGAGGAGAGCAACAUGCCUAGUCUGAGAGCACACCUCCCUGAAGAGACUUGAGAUACUUCUAUAUGACAAUUCAAGGUGCGACUGCCACUUCGACCUACCUACAUGAAACAAGGAUAGCAGUGAAACCACAGUACCAGGGGGACUGGCUCAGGAGGAAGAGAUGACUGAAAAAAAAGCUCAAGAGAAACAGAUGGCAGAGUAGCAGAGUAGACUAGAAGGAACAAACUUCACCAUUCUGUUUGUAGCUGCUCUCACCAUCUUUUGAGACUUCAGGAUCAUUAUGAUGCAACAGGGUGGUCAACAUCUAAAUCUGGAAGAUUUUCAGGGCAAACCAAAGCACAGAAAGAUAACUAGAUGCCAUAUUCACUAAUUUUGGCUAGAUCUUGAAAAGAUAAAACACAAACCUGAGGUUCCUACCAUCGUCCUCUAUUUCAUAUAUACGCUUUCCUCACUAUAUUAUUUCUCCUUUUCUGCCUUUCUGUUUUUCUUUUUGCCUAAAGAGAGUCUGGUUAAUUUAGCCACAACAACAAUACUUUUUGCAACACUGCUUUGAGCCUAUAACCAGCGAGGCAAGGUAAAGACCACAACCUAACGCUGUUAAAAGUUUCCUAAGUCUUAGAGUAGCUGAAAAAAAAAUGCAUGUCUGUAGUUUCCCAGCAUGUUUGCUUUAGGCGAUCAGCAUCAGAGACAGAAAUUUCUAUUUUUUGCAACCAUCAUGACUCCUUAUGUGUGAUUUUGCUUGUUUUCUCUACAAGGAAAGAGGAUCUAACUUCUUCAACAUAAACAGCAGCUCAAAUCCAUAGAAAGUAACUUCUUCUCAUGUCCAGCCACCCCAACCAAAAGGUGAGAUAAUAACAUAUUUCACCACUUGCUAAAACAGAUUGUCAAACAAGGAUUUCAUCCAUAAAAUAAUUUGUAUAGCUAAAGGGAAAUGGAAUAUUUAUUCCCUUGGAAAUUGUUAAAAUGAAAGCCUUACUAAACUCUUUUCAUUUCAAAUGCUAUUUCCCUUCUUUUUAUAUGUGCUUAAUAAAGAGUUGUAAUUAUGUUAUGACUCUGAAGCAAUUAUUAGACAGAGACUUCAAACCCCACAUAACUGUUUAGUGUUGUAACAAAAAGAAGUUACUCAACAUGUUCAGGGUUUUGAACACUGGGUUCCCCAAUAAGAAGCAACAAGAC